CCUACGGCGGCAGCAGUGGGGAAUAUUGGACAAUGGGCGAAAGCCUGAUCCAGCCAUGCCGCGUGUGUGAAGAAGGCCUUCGGGUUGUAAAGCACUUUCAGUGGGGAAGAAAGCCUUGGGGCUAAUACCCUCGAGGAAGGACAUCACCCACAGAAGAAGCACCGGCUAACUCCGUGCCAGCAGCCGCGGUAAUACGGAGGGUGCGAGCGUUAAUCGGAAUUACUGGGCGUAAAGCGCGCGUAGGCGGUCUGAUAAGCCGGUUGUGAAAGCCCCGGGCUCAACCUGGGAACGGCAUCCGGAACUGUCAGGCUAGAGUGCAGGAGAGGAAGGUAGAAUUCCCGGUGUAGCGGUGAAAUGCGUAGAGAUCGGGAGGAAUACCAGUGGCGAAGGCGGCCUUCUGGACUGACACUGACACUGAGGUGCGAAAGCGUGGGUAGCAAACAGGAUUAGAUACCCCUGUAGUC
rnacentral:rRNA from 1 species